rnacentral:rRNA from 2 species
CGGAGGAAAAAGAAACCAACAGGGAUUGCCUCAGUAACGGCGAGUGAAGCGGCAAAAGCUCAAAUUUGAAAUCUAGCACUUUCAGUGUUCGAGUUGUAAUUUGAAGAAGGUAACUUUGGUUUUGGCUCUUGUCUAUGUUCCUUGGAACAGGACGUCACAGAGGGUGAGAAUCCCGUGCGAUGAGAUGCCCAAUUCCAUGUAAAGUGCUUUCGAAGAGUCGAGUUGUUUGGGAAUGCAGCUCUAAGUGGGUGGUAAAUUCCAUCUAAAGCUAAAUAUUGGCGAGAGACCGAUAGCGAACAAGUACAGUGAUGGAAAGAUGAAAAGAACUUUGAAAAGAGAGUGAAAAAGUACGUGAAAUUGUUGAAAGGGAAGGGCUUGAGAUCAGACUUGGUAUUUUGCGUUCCCUUCCUUUUUGGUUGGGUUCCUCGCAGUUUACUGGGCCAGCAUCGGUUUGGAUGGUAGGAUAAUGACAUUGGAAUGUAGCUU